rnacentral:RNase_P_RNA from 1 species
UGUUUUCGGGGUGAGGAAAGUCCGGGCUUCACAGGGCAGGAUGCCGGAUAACGUCCGGUGGAGGCGACUCCAAGGAUAGUGCAACAGAAAUAUACCGCCACCGCUGUUAUAGCGUGUGAAGAAUCCGUAAGGAUUCUUCGGAUUUUGGCUGUGCCAAAAUCUGGUAAGGGUGGAAGGGCAGUGUAAGAGACUACCGCCUCGUUGGCAACAACGGGGGCAUAUGUAAACCCCAUCCGAAGCAAGACCGAAUCAAAGCGUUUACGUGGCCCGCCAGCUUUAGGUAGGUUGCUUGAGGUGACUGGCAACAGUCAUCCUAGAUAGAUGAUCAUUCCCCUGUCUUCGACAGGGUGACAUAACCCGGCUUAUCGUUCUGCUUAU